UACGGAGGGGGCUAGCGUUGUUCGGAAUUACUGGGCGUAAAGCGCACGUAGGCGGCUUUGUAAGUUAGAGGUGAAAGCCCGGGGCUCAACUCCGAAAUUGCCUUUAAGACUGCAUCGCUAGAAUUGUGGAGAGGUAAGUGGAAUUCCGAGUGUAGAGGUGAAAUUCGUAGAUAUUCGGAAGAACACCAGUGGCGAAGGCGACUUACUGGACACAUAUUGACGCUGAGGUGCGAAAGCGUGGGGAGCAAACAGG
rnacentral:rRNA from 1 species